rnacentral:rRNA from 1 species
AGAUAGAAGCAAGGGCAGACGGUGGAUGCCUUGGCACACAGAGGCGAAGAAGGACGUACUAGGCUGCGAAAAGCUGCGGGGAGCUGCCAAGAGGCGUUGAUCCGCAGAUUUCCGAAUGGGGCAACCCACUGUAUGGCGACAUACAGUAUCCAUAUUUAUAUGGAGGCGAACCCGGGGAAGUGAAACAUCUCAGUACCCGGAGGAAGAGAAAUCAAACGAGAUUCCCUUAGUAGCGGCGAGCGAACGGGGAUUAGCCCGCUCAGAGAUAGCUUGGAGGAUAGCGGAAGUAGUUGGAAAGCUACAGCAUAGAGGGUGAUACUCCCGUAUGCGAAAUCCUUCAGGUGGUACUAAGCUGACGAACGAGUAGGUCGGGACACGUGGAACCCUGACUGAAUAUGGGAGGACCACCUUCCAAGGCUAAAUACUACUGUGUGACCGAUAGCGAACAAGUACCGUGAGGGAAAGGUGAAAAGAACCGCGGCAAGCGGAGUGAAAUAGAACCUGAAACCGUCUGCCUACAAUCAUUCAGAGCCCCAUGCCGCAAGGCGGGGUGAUGGACUGCCUUUUGCAUAAUGAGCCUGCGAGUUGUGGUUACUGGCGAGGUUAAGCGAACGCGAAGCCGUAGCGAGAGCGAGUCUGAAUAGGGCGAAUAGUCAGUAGCUGCAGACCCGAAACUGAGUGAUCUAUCCAUGAGCAGGUUGAAACCGGUGUAAGAGCCGGCGGAGGACCGAACCGGUGGAGGUUUAAAACUCCUCGGAUGACUUGUGGAUAGGGGUGAAAGGCCAAUCAAACUCAGUGAUAGCUGGUUCUCCGCGAAAUAUAUUUAGGUAUAGCCUCUGUUUCGAAGCAUAGGGGGGUAGAGCACUGAUUCGGCUAGGGCCUACACCAGGGUACCAAACCGAGUCAAACUCCGAAUACCCUAUGUGGAUGACAGGGAGUCAGGUGGCGGGUGAUAAAAUCCGUCAUCGAGAGGGAAACAGCCCAGACUACCAGCUAAGGUCCCCAAGUUCUAUUUAAGUGGAAAAGGAGGUGGGGUUGCUUAGACAACCAGGAGGUUGGCUUAGAAGCAGCCAUCCUUUAAAGAAAGCGUAACAGCUCACUGGUCCAUUUGGGGUCCCCAUUGCUUCGGCAAUGGGGUACUCUUGCGAUCCUGCGCCGAAAAUAUAACGGGGCUAAAAUAGACACCGAAGCUGUAGGUACGGAUUACUGAUUGCAGAUUGCGGAUUGCGGAGGAAGUAAAUUGAGAGAUGAGAGUGCAAAAUUAGAUGUUGAGAAUUUGCAAAUUUAUCAAAUGGCAUUUAGACUAAUGAUAAAAAUUCAUAAAACAAGCUUGAGAUUUCCCAAAAUCGAGCAAUAUGGUGGAGUAGCCGAUCAAUUGAGACGGAGCUCUAAAUCAAUUGCUGCAAAUAUAGUUGAGGGGUUUGGGAAGCAGAGAUUUUAUAAAGAUGAAUUUAAAAGAAUGUUGGUCUAUGCUAUAGGAAGUUGUGAUGAGACAAUGCUAUGGAUCAAGACAUCUAAGGAGCUGGGAUAUAUAAGUAAUGAGCUUAUGCAAGAGUAUAUAAGCGAAUAUAAAAUCCUAGUAAAAAAACUUUCUGUAUUUACUUCGAAUUUGAAAGUGAAAUGAAGCUUCUUCCGUAAUCCGUAAUCCGUAUUCGGUUAUCCGUGCGGUAGCGGAGCGUUCCUGUCAGCGUUGAAGCCAUACCGGUAAGGAGUGGUGGAGCGGCAGGAAGUGAGCAUGCAGGCAUGAGUAGCGAUAAAACAGGUGAGAAUCCUGUUCGCCGAAAGCCUAAGGUUUCCUACACGAUGCUCGUCAGUGUAGGGUUAGUCGGGGCCUAAGACGAGGCCGAGAGGCGUAGUCGAUGGGAAAACGGUUAAUAUUCCGUUACCUACUAACAGCGAGUCGAUGGGGGGACGCAUAGGGUUAGCCGAGGUCACUGAUGGAAUAGUGGCUCGAAGGGUGUAGGAGGAGUGGUAGGCAAAUCCGCCACUUAUUAACUCCAAGACCUGAUAGGCUCUUGAAGCUCUUCGGAGCGGAGAGAGAAUCGGUGAUACCGUCGUGCCAAGAAAAGCCUCUAAGACGUUUGAGCUGUUAGUAGCCCGUACCGUAAACCGACACAGGUAGGCGGGAUGAGUAUUCUAAGGCGCGUGGAAGAACCCUCCCUAAGGAACUCGGCAAACUGGCACUGUAACUUCGGGAUAAGGUGUGCCCCGAGUAGGUGAAGGAGCUAGCCUCCGGAGCCCAAAGGGGUCGCAGCGCAGCGCUCUUGCCGACUGUUUACCAAAAACACAGCACUCUGCUAACUCGUAAGAGGAAGUAUAGGGUGUGACGCCUGCCCGGUGCCGGAAGGUUAAGGGGAUCCGUUAGCCGUAAGGCGAAGCGGUGAACCGAAGCCCCGGUAAACGGCGGCCGUAACUAUAACGGUCCUAAGGUAGCGAAAUUCCUUGUCGGUUAAAUACCGACCUGCAUGAAUGGCGUAACGAGUGAGGGGCUGUCUCAGGGAGGGAUCCAGUGAAAUUGUAGUGGAGGUGAAAAUUCCUCCUACCCGCGGCAAGACGGAAAGACCCCGUGGACCUUUACUACAGCUUGGCAUUGUAGGUGGGAUAUUCAUGUGCAGGAUAGGUGGGAGGCUUUGAAGCUAAGGCGCUAGCCUUAGUGGAGCCGACCUUGAGAUACCACCCUUGAAUAUCCUGCCUACUAACCCGCAGGAGUAAUCCUUCUGGGGGACAGUGCCUGGUGGGUAGUUUGACUGGGGCGGUCGCCUCCUAAAGAGUAACGGAGGCUCACAAAGGUUGGCUCAUGGCGGUUGGAAAUCGCCUGAAGAGUGUAAAGGCACAAGCCAGCCUGACUGCGAGAGAUACAACUCGAGCAGAGACGAAAGUCGGUCUUAGUGAUCCGGUGGUUCUGAGUGGAAGGGCCAUCGCUCAAAGGAUAAAAGGUACCCCGGGGAUAACAGGCUGAUCUCCCCCGAG